rnacentral:lncRNA from 1 species
GUGGACUAUGUUGAGGGACAGGUGCAUGCCAUUAUGGAUAAGAAGAUGGAUGAACAUACAAUUGUGCAUUGUUCAUAGGAUAUUAAGGAAGUGGAAUGAGAUUUCUUAGAUUUUGGGGAAAGAAACCUUGUUGCAAGUGGUUAUGUGGAUCUAAUAUUUAAGUUCGGGAUUGAGGAUGACAGUAUUGGUGGGUUGGACCUCUCAAACUUGGCUUUGGC